UACAGAGGGGGCAAGCGUUGUUCGGAAUUACUGGGCGUAAAGGGCGCGUAGGCGGCCCGCUAAGUCGAACGUGAAAUCCCUGGGCUCAACCCAGGAACUGCGUCCGAUACUGGUGGGCUUGAAUCCGGGAGAGGGAUGUGGAAUUCCAGGUGUAGCGGUGAAAUGCGUAGAUAUCUGGAGGAACACCGGUGGCGAAGGCGACAUCCUGGACCGGUAUUGACGCUGAGGCGCGAAAGCCAGGGGAGCGAACGGG
rnacentral:rRNA from 1 species